UCUACAUUUGCUACUUAUUUAAAAUUCUCUGCUUUCCCCCUUAGUUGUAGGCAGCAAACUGCAUGAAACAGAAGAGAUCUUGUCAUUGCUAACACUCUGAGAGAGGAAUGAUCAGAGGACUUUGCCUACUCUCUAGCAAAAAUUGGGUCAGGGUGGUGAUGUUGGAGAACAUCCAGAGAGACAAUGGGUGGAGCUAGAGAAAAGAAGAGCAAGGUGAGGCCCCAUGGCUUGCUAACAAGAAGAAAAUACAGUCCUGGAUUAGAGGAGUGGUCCUAGGGUUUAGUAGUUUCAUGUUUUCCCUCUAUCCAUGAUGCCUGAGUGAUAAAUCUUUUUUCUUUAGAUCUGUCAGGCUUCUGCUCCUUGGCCCCCUCUUGUGGUUUAGGUAUUGCUGAUUUGAAAUGUACCAGUGUCUCAAGCUCAAUGCAGCAAAGAUCUGGAAUCCUUCUCUUCUUUGAGGGAAGUGGAGGACCCCUCAUGCACUGGCUGUGACCAAUCAAGUUUUGCUCGAUGCCAAAAAAUUAAACACAGUAAGGCCAGGCCCUGUCAGCAAAGAGUUGAUUGCUUUAAAUAAGGGAGAUUUCCUGAAUGUUUAAAUUGAAACUUCGACUUUGAUUAAAGCAAAGAGAAGUACCAGGAUGGCUUCCUAACUAUUUAGUUCCUAAAAUUCCUGUGAGGUCUGGAGAUGACAAAUUCAAUUCUGAUGUGCUGUGUUUUACACUCUGCAGACUGUAGUAAAAGGGAAAACUAAUCAAGCUUGGGUUUCCCAUGGGCUGAGCUUUAAGAUGUUUUCCUAUUUAAAGCCAUGGAAAUAUGUUAAAACCCACAUAGGCACAGUGAAGUUUAUAUAAGGCAAAAUCUAUGUGACUAUGUUUUUGCACAGUGUGCAUAUUUUGAUUUUUCAUUAUUUUUGGUUUGUUUAAUGGCUUAUUUUGCUUAAAAUUAUAUUCCUACAAUAGUUUUAUAAUAAAAGAUUGGAAAGAAUGGUUUAUAAAUAUAUCUAUACGUCUAUUAUACAUAUACACAAUUUAUAUUGUAAAGUGGUUAUGUUGUCAAGUAGAACACAUUCACUUGAAUUUAAAAUUUUUAUUAAAAAUAAAAAAUAGAAAAUUGAUGAAUGACAGACAUAAAAAUGCAUGGCUAUCUAUCCAGACAUGCCAAGAUACAAACUAAGGAUUUAUUUUUAGAGCCAGUGCAGUUAUCAUAUAAUUAAAAAUAUUAAUUACAAUGUAAAAAUCAUCACAUGAGAAGAAAUGGGAAAGGAGAGUGAAUGAAUACAUAUGUCAACUAAACAAACUAGACAUUUCAUAUACAAGCAAGGGAUUGAAUUUUACAUAAACCAUUGUUUGUAAACAAAUGAUAAUUAAAAGUAGUGCUUUCCAUUAGAAGAUAGAGCAAGGGACUGUUCAUUCUUCUGUUUCAUUUUAACCUGGUCAUUAGGCCAGUUUUUCAUUAAGUUUUAUGCCUAUGAAAUUAUAGUCAAAACCAAAAUCUUGUAAGGAAGUUAAAGAUGAUACAUGUGUAUGUGUGUGUACAUACACACUAUCAUCUAUCUGUCUAUGUAUCUACUUAUGUCUGUAGUUUUUUUGGGUUGAUGACUACUUGUUUUUAGAACACUAGAAACAAAAUGACUAUUCACAUUGAACAUUUCAUGCUGUAGAAAAAUGGAGAUUUCUUCAUGAAUAUACACAGGAAAUUUAUUACACUUAAUCUUUGGAUCUUUUCUCAAAUUUAACACACAGUAAACACAAUCAAAAGACUAAGUGUCUUUUUGAUCCUCACAAUAUGACACAAUUUUAUAUUUUCACAAGGAUUAUAAUACUCAAUUUAUGGAGAUAUAUUCAUUCUUUCAGGUCACAUUAACUAAAUGAUUUUUUCUUAUCUCCUGAAAGGGUGUAGCCAAAAUAUACGUUCACCAGUAGCACUCAUGGCUUUCCUUGUAUCUAUGUAAGAUGAUGGAAUGAACACAUUUAACUAAUUUGUCCAUACACAACAAUUUUACACUUAAAUAAUCAGUGUUGGGGUCUUCCUCUUUGUGUAUUAGCUUUGGAAGGGGUGAUACUGAGUCAAAAUUUAAUUCACUAGGGGCUUAAUGGAAGUGGCAAAAUCAAACUUUGUAGCCUUUGUCUAGAAAACUGGUUUAUUUCUACAAUGAAAACUUGACAUGGGUUACUUUUUCAAGGUUAAGUCCUUUGAAAAUUCAAAGCUUCUUUGAUUUUGAACAAGUGACUAAGCUUUUAAAAUUUUAUCAUAUUUUCACUAAUAAUUCACAUAAUACAAGAAAUCUUGAAGUUUAUUUAUUGAUUUAUUAUUCAUUUAUGGUGGCUGAUUUAUUUUGAUUCUCAAAUUUUAUAGAUGAAGAAAUUGAGACUCAGAAACUUGCAAUGCAUUUUUGGUCCUGCAGGCAGUCAGUGGCAGGCCAGGGACAGUCCUUCACACAGGUCUUUGGCUUUCUGAACUGAAGUCCAUCACUACCCCACCACCUCCCUUCCUAUGAUUACUCAACAUUUGUCAUUAAAAUCAUGCAACAUGAGAGAAGAAAAUAUCCUAAAACAUGAAAAUCAUGAUGAGAAAUUCAAAGUUGUUUUGGAAGAGCUUUUAUUUUUCAUAAAAAGCCUUUAUCAACAGUUUAUAUAGGCCGGAUGCAGUUGCUCAUGCCUGUAAUCCCAGCACUUUGGGAGGAUGAGGUGGGUGGAUCACUGAAGGUCAGGAGUUUGAGACUAGCCUGGCUAACAUGGUGAAACCCUGUCUCUACUAAAAACACAAAAAGUAGCCAGAUGCGGUAGUGCGCACCUGCAGUCUCAGCUACUCGGGAGGCUGAGGCAGGAGAAUCACUGGAACCUGGGGGGCAGAGGUUGCAGUAAGCUGGGAUUGUGCCACUGCACUCUAGCCUGGGUGACAAAGUGAGACUCUGCCUAAAAAAAAAAGAAAAAAGAAAAAAAAAACAGUUUAUAUAAAGGGUGGAUGCACAAUUACAACUGGAUUGCCUGUACAAUCAUUUUACAUUUUUUUAAAAAAAUGUAAAAGUUUUUAAACAAACAAAAAUAAAAGUUCAGUAAUAGAAAAAUACAAUUUUGACAAAACUUUCCACUAUAGUUAAGUAUAAAGUUGGCUCUUGUGGUCUUUGAGGAAUUCAUACUUGUGUUAGAAGGGAAGUUAAGGACAUAUUUAUGUGAAUACCAAAUGAGCUGUUUCAGAAACAAAUAAACUCUAUCUUUUUGAAAUGAGAAUGUUUGAACACACGAUUACAGAUCUGGUUGGUUUUGAUCUUUAGAAGUCCGUUGCAUGCUCUCCUUCUGCCAAAUUACACCAGAAACUGUUGUUAUUGCUGAUGAGCAGUUUGACUACACCACUAUAAUAUAAAUGUUAGUUUAAAGCUCCUUAUUUUCUUUAUGAGCAUAUUCAUUUGGAUUGAUAGAAAGUGACUGCAUUUCACCCAGAGAACUGGUUGGUGGGAACGGUUUUUGGUUUUGUCCGGUGGCAAAUAUCUGGAAUCAAAAACACUUUCAUGAUAAAAUCAUAUUAGACUAUUAGGUAAUUGGUAGGAAAAUGCUGUUGAACAUUAUUUAAUUUCUUGUUAAGUUUAAUGGGAGCUUUUGCUCAGAUUAUAGAAUAAUGUAAGACUUAAAUUGGGUUAUCUUUUCUGUUAUCUCAAAAAAUGGAGUUUUUACUGUUUUUGCUGUUUGGAGCUUAUGUAAAUGAUACAAAAUUUGUCAUUUGGUCCUCCAACCCAGAAGGCCAACACUGAUAGUCUUGUUUGGUUUAAUAAUAGCAUCCCUUGCUGUGUUAAGGAUUCUGUAGAUCUGUGCUGACUAAUAAGACAGCCACUAGCCAUAUGUGACUAGUGAGUACCUAAAAUUUGACCAGUUUGAAUUGAGCUAUGUGCUCCAAGUUGAAGAUACAUCCUGGAUUUCAAAGAGUUAGUAUGAAAAAAGGAACAUAAAAUGUCUCAUCAUUUUUGAAUAUUAAUUACAUUUUGAG
rnacentral:lncRNA from 10 species